rnacentral:rRNA from 1 species
UACGUAGGUGACAAGCGUUGUCCGGAUUUACUGGGCGUAAAGAGCUCGUAGGCGGCUUGUCGCGUCGGCUGUGAAAUCCCGUGGCUCAACUGCGGGUCUGCAGCCGAUACGGGCAGGCUAGAGUUCGGUAGGGGAGACUGGAAUUCCUGGUGUAGCGGUGGAAUGCGCAGAUAUCAGGAGGAACACCGGUGGCGAAGGCGGGUCUCUGGGCAGUAACUGACGCUGAGGAGCGAAAAGCGUGGGGAGCGAACAGG